rnacentral:rRNA from 1 species
GACGAACCGUGCGACCGUUGUUCGGAAUCACUGGGCUUAAAGGGAGCGUAGGCGGGCUAUCAAGUCUGGGGUGAAAUGCCGCGGCUCAACCGUGGAACUGCCUCAGAUACUGACGGCCUCGAGGAAGAUAGGGGCAUGCGGAACUGUGAGUGGAGCGGUGAAAUGCGUUGAUAUUCACAGGAACUCCGGUGGCGAAAGCGGCGUGCUGGAUCUUUUCUGACGCUGAGGCUCGAAAGCUAGGGGAGCAAACGGG